rfam:Oryza glaberrima chromosome 4 Oglab04_unplaced070_2, whole genome shotgun sequence.
AAUAAAUGUAGUUUUACAUCGUUUCACGUCCAACACUUGACCAUUUGUUUUAUUUAAAUUUUUUUAUUAGUAUUUUGGUGUUAUUAGAUGAUAAUAUAUGAAUAGUAUUUUACGUGUGACUAAUUUAUUUUUCAUUUUUUUCAUAAACUUUUCAAAUAGGACGGACGGUCAAAAGUUCGACACGGAUUUUCACGGUUGCACUUAUU